rnacentral:misc_RNA from 1 species
UAUAGAAGAAAGCAAUGGCUGACUUCGAUACUAUUUACGAAGAGGAUGACGAGGAAGGGCCUCCCAGCGACAGUCGGGAGUUAGUAGUCCCCGAUCCGAUACUCGUAAGGGGAGCAGGGAAUGUGACGAUAUUUGGUCUCAGUAAUAGAUUUGAUACAGAAUUCCCCACCAGUCUUUCAGCCAAGGUUGCUCCUGAAGAGUACAAGGCCACAGUGGUACGGCUGAACAGUGUGUUAAAGAAAGCUCUGCCAGUAAAUGUCAAGUGGCUGUUCUGUGGCUGUAUAUGUUGCUGCUGUACCCUGGGGUGUUCCCUGUGGCCUGUUGUCUGUCUCAGUAAGAGGACAAGACAUGCAAUAGAGAAAGUACUUGACUGGGAAAACACACGUUUAUAUCACAAACUGGGCCUGCACUGGCGACUAAGUAAGCAGCGCUGUGAUUCUAGCAGUAUGAUGGAAUAUGUGCUGCUGGUCGAGUUCCUACCAAAGAUCCCUAUAUUUCGGCCAGACUAACGCAAGGCCUGUCCUCCAAUCCCUGCCAUAUUUUGCUGCCACAAAUGAUGUGUAUAUUUUAGCAAGCAUUAUCAUCGUCAUCCUAGUCCAUGACCUCAUUGUGACAUCUAGACGUCACAUUUCACUUGUAGUUUACGUCUGGGUGUAGUGAGUUGUAGAAUGCUGAUGACUGACGACAAAGUACUGGGACUGCCACCAACAACCCUCAGCCCCCACCCCACACAUCAGACUGGGACUUUGCAUGAAAAAAAACAUGUGCAAGCAUUUCCUCUACUUGGCAACGCAGAAGAAAAUUAGAAAUCCCUUAGAUUGGAUCGACAACUAGAACACUUCAUUGAAUGAUAAAUAGAUUUAAUGAAAAAAAUGUGAUAACAUGAAUGUAUGUGCAUGGGUCGGUUGAAAUUUGAUUUCAAUAUUUGUGCAUUUUUGCAUUUGGUCAAAAAACAUAUUUUACUUGAUGGUAUAUAGUUUUCAUCAGUGAUGCUUGGCUACAGUCAUAUGUAUACCUGCGUCAUUUUGUGACAUGUUUAAUUAAAAAUGAAAAUGUUGAUUAAUUUAUGACUUGUUAGUGACAAUGAAUUCUUAUUAGUCUGUGUGUUGUAGUUGUCUGUCUGGCUCUUAACACAUCUAUACUCCAGACUUAUGAGAGAUCUUGUCUUGAUGUUUAACAUGAGAAAAGUACAUGUGUCUUGACAGUUUAGUAAACUUGUACUGAACAACUUAUUUUUUUCGGAAAAUCAGAAUGUAUAAAUAUAUAUGAUUCAUUUAUUUUUAAGAAUGCACAAUGUGAAUAUUGAAAUGCUUUCUUUGCAAAGGUAUAUGAAAUGAAUUGUCUCAAAAUAUUUCUUGAUCAUAAUGGCAAAAUUUCAGGAUUUAUUUUAUGUAAUUAACCAAUACUAUCGUUAGGUAUGGAAGUUUUACAAACGAUUUUUCCCAGGCAUAAUUUUAAGGAUGUUAAUUUGCUAAGUAUAAGAAGUGGGUGAAGCUAGUUGUUGAACAAAUACUGAGCAAAAAAUUCUGUUUAUAUACCAGGUAAAUUAGAACUACAUUUUUGAAGACCAAGCUAGACUUGGUUCUGCAAAGGUGAUCUAACAUUUAAUAUUAACUUUGAUUUCAAAUCUUUUUGCAUAGUUAUGCAAUAUAAUACAAAACAAUACAUAAUUAUUAAAGUGAAAUUGGAUUUGGAAAUAAGUUUUACAAAUUACAUCAAUCCAUUUAGGACAAUACAUUAAAAGUUGGAGUUACUAAAAUUCCAUAAUACUUCGCACAUGGUGGGUCUGUACUACUUCACAUUGUACUUCAAUAAAACUGGUAGAUAGCUGACAAUGACCAAAUGUUAAUCAUGUUCAACAUCAUAUUGGCUCUACUAUAACAGGCCACACAAUAAUUUCUCGUUAACAUUACCCUGAUAACAAUAUAAUGUUUACAGGAGAUAUCGUUUUGAAGAUGAUCAAGUAAAAAGACCCAAAAGAAUGAAAUUGACCCCUGUUAAUUUGUUGAUAACUGAUGUACACAUAUAGAGAAAUGAUACAGUGUAUUUACUUGUGACUUGCCAUUAUAUUUGGUCACAUCUUAUUCUCAGGGUCAGGUAAGCUGUAUUUGUAGCUGGUGGUUCAAUAGUCUAAUGAAGCACCACUGAUUUCCACAGCUUUGUUGACUGAAAAUCUAGAACAAAUUGAAUUUACUGGGAUCAAUAUUACCAUGUUUGUUUUUAAUAUUGUCUGAGGUUUGAGAUACUGCUGCCGAUUAACCUUUCCUAGAAUUUCUUCAGUAUUGUGUUGGAUCUCUAUCUCUAGUCAAAUAUGUACUGAACUACCAUGGUCUGACUGAGCAUCAACAGUACAUGUAUGUAAUUUCAGACUAUACAUGAUAAACCCACGAUGAAAGUGAAAUGAUAAAUAUGUGAUGCAUUUGACAUCAUAAUCAAAUGACACAUUCAAAAGAUAAAAUUUGUAAUGAAUUUGUGCAGGGAAUAUGGAAUUUUACAAUUUUCCAGUGUCAGUGUUCUGGUAGUUCCCUGGAGUCGGUAGCCUUCCGUGGAUGGAUUCCUGAUGGAAUUCAGUACCAGUACAUGUACAUGAAGUACUGUAAUCAGAAUUCAACGUAAAGAUGCCUUGACAACAUCCACAGGAAGGUAAUCAGCAAUUUGUAUUGUGAUGUUAACAGUUUCAACAAACUAGGUGUCGGUGGAAUGUCCAGUCGUCUUUACUUUGAAUUUUGAUAGUUAUAGGUAAUUCUUGUUCCAUACCAGCAACAAGUGAUGUCGCACACACAACCAAUGGGACAAUUUUUCUGUUAUUUCAUCGUCAGGAAGAAGCAUUAGACUGACUCAGUGUUAUCAUGUUUUACAGACAAUACUGUCCUGAUCCCAGCCAUCCAUUGCCUUGCCUUACUGGUAUUUCCUCGCUGUACAUAACGUGAUUUCAUGUAUAAUUUGGAUUGAUACAAUACAGAGGUUACAAUUAAAGUAUAACGGAAAAAAAUCAUGCACAUUACAAUUGUAAAGUUUAAAAUAUAGAUUUUUCUGGUUAAGUAGAAAGAUGUGACUUGAGCAAAAAGUUUGGUUUUGAAUAUUUUACUUUUUGUUAUUUGAGCAAGAUUAACAUAUUUUGAUCUUGAGUUCAAUGUUUAGUAAUUCCAACAAAAAGGCAAUCGGAAUAUCCUAACACAAAUGCUAGUUACCUCCACGUUGUUGGUAUAUGCUUUGUGAAAUAUUUUACCUCAAAAUGCAUGUCAAUUUGUAUGGUUGCUAAAUCGGCUAUUUGUUGUUGAGAAAUACAAGUUGUAAAUUACAAUUAUAAAAAAUAUAAGUCUUGUUUGUUGUAUUGAAUUCUUGAAUUAUUUUUUAAAGAUUAAAAUACAUAAUUGUUUAUACUGUCUCAGGUUAUAUGACAAUUAAGAAAUAGCUAAAAUGUGUUUUUGAUUUUUUUUGGGAUUUGUGACUUUUAGUUUUGGCUUUGUAUAUAUGUGUGUCUAUUGUUUUGUGUUUAUAUAAUGUUGAUUGCAGAGAUGACCUGUAGAUAUGUGUGUAUAGUGUUUUGUGUGUAUAUAAUGUUGAUAGCGGAGAGGACCUGAGGUCUAUAGCUCUCUGAUCAUCCACUUAAAGCAGCUGUGUUAAUAUUAAACAUCAUUUAUGAUGAAGGGGACCCAACAUGAUUGUUCAGGAUAAGCAUUGUUGUAUUAGAUAUUUCAAUGAUUUAAGUAAUAUAUUAUCUGGAAGUUCACAUAGAUUUUUUGUUUUCAUUACAAAAUAAUUGUAUGAUUGUUACAAGUAGUGCAAUGUAGUAAAAACAACUGUGAGUACUGAAACUGAUAGUGAAAAUACCUGUGAAUGAUAGAGUUCACUGACUCUCAUUCAUUUAGUAGCUUUUACAGUGUAUUACAGUACACCCUUGUGUGCCACUAGUCUUGGUUAGCGACAGUAGUUAGUUAAUUGUUAUAUCAUAUGGAGAUAUUCCAGAGACACUGUUAUAGUUCUAGUUCAUUUUUAUCAGUGUUUGAUUUACAGAAUGGAAAGGGACCAACAUUGAUGGAAAAGAAAACAGUUCCUUUGCUACUAAAGAGAUGAUGUGGGUGCUUGUUUGCUUGUGUCAGAAAUAUGUUUAUCGAAUGUGUGUAAACCGUUACAUUGAGCGAACAUUCUACAAAUUCAGUUUCGUGAUUCAGAUAUUUCAAAACGUAUAUAACAAAAUCUAAAUUGAAAACAAAUUUCAACACAAAUGUAUUAGUCAGAUUUAGUUUCUGUAAUAACAAAAUGAAAGUUUGACAUGCAAACUGAUCAUAUGAUGAUAAGUGUAUAGUGUGUGGGAACUGUGUAUUUUUUUUUCAUAAUUCAGAAAUAUUAAAAAAAACUACUGGGAGUGUUAAAUCUCAAUGUGUAACGAGCACAGCCGGAAAAAGUACAUAUGAUGUAUGUUUAUUGUCUUGUAAGCAUGCAGUAGUAUAGAUGUGUGCUGGGUGUUUGUCACCAUUAUUGUUGAUGCUUAAUAAUUUACAGGUAUAUAUACAUGUAUACAUUUAACUUUAUUCAUCUGUAUUUUUCUUAAAACAUCUCAAGGAAUGGGUACAAAUGGUGACUGGUUUGAAAAUAAUGGGAAUAAUUUUAUGAAUGAGAUCCACUUUGGUAUGAAUAAUAUAUGCUAUAAGUUAGGUUUGUAUGCAAAAAAUAAUUGAGAACUUAUUACCCUAAGGGGCGGAAUGUGUAAACAGGGUCCCCGUGACUGCCUGCAGUAUUAGAAAUGGAUCAAUGUAAUGGUCAUUUGCACUCUUUGCUUGACAAUGGAAACAUAAGUGUUCCCGUAACUCACAGCUGACGUACGCGUUGAUACAAUUAUAAGGAGGCAAAGCAAAAGAAAAUAUAAAUAUAUAUAUUGUUUAUUAAUCAGUCAAUAAACUGUCUUCAUUUGGUUGUCGACCAGAAGUGCAUUACAAUUGGCCAAAACACAUGAUGGUUGGUUAAUGAAAGCUGGGCAUUGAUUGGUCAUUGGGACGUCGAAAUGGGUUGGCCGAUACAUAGUACAAACUUCCAUUCCACCUCUUUCUUGGAUGUGUGCUUAUAAUAGUUUCUAUAUUGUAAGUCUGGACACUGUGUAGCUGUAUUGUUUGUGUUUGGUUGGAUUUUACAGGGAUUUAUAUUUGAGCAUUUAUUGUGAUCCCACUACAGUAUUAUUGAGUUUGAAUGUCAGUGGUGCUUUUGAUAAUUUGAUGUGAGUUUAAUCAUGAUUUUGUUUGUAAAAGAAAAGAAGAAUAGCUUUUAAGUUUCCCAGUAGGAAAACGUGAAAUUUAAUGCAUUUGUUUACACAUGAUGAUGAACUACACACAGACGUCCGUGUAAAAUGUGUGCUUAUGGAUUAAUGUAUGUAGCAGUGACUUAAAAAAAAAACCAACAUAUUUAUGUAUUUCUUUCACGUCACUUAUCAUACAAUUCGGUGAUCAAGAAUAAAAAUAUGAGUUCAUACUCAAAACGACCCGAAAAUAAAUCAUCAUGUAAAAUUUCCGUAGAACCGGAUAAUAAAGUAAUACAUAUUUUUUUAAUUUUCAUUUUGUCUUAUAUUUAUCAAAAACUGUUUCCAUCCAAAGUGAAAAAACUAUGUAUAUGUUUUAUCCAUUAUAGUUAGGUAAAUGAAGCAUUAUUUUAUCAUUUUGUGUAGAUAUUAUAAAUUAUAGUAAUUGAUUUGAUGUUCACUUGGUAAGAAACAGGUGGGAUAGUUUAGGGAAAGUUGGGAGAAAGGAAAUACCAAUAUUUACGUAUUAGUUGUUUUUGUAAAGUUUGGAGUCGGAUCAUACCCAUGAAUGUGUAUUAUUUUUGAAUGAGUGGUCGUUUUAGGAUAUACUACCAAAACAACGUACACGCAUACUAUUGUGGUGUGCCCUAGCGAUGCAAUACAGUAUAAUGCAAAUCUUUGAAAUUUUGAUACUGGAAUUUCCUACCUUAAAUGCAAAAAGUAUUUGAUGUGAAAAGAUCACUACAUAAUGACAAAAAACACUCGCCAUUAUGUCAUUUUUUUAUCCUUUUUUUUAAAAACUUUUUUCACUGAAGUGUAAAAAACGUUUUUUGUACUUCAGAGAAAGAAGUCGUUUUUGCACUUCAGAGAAUAAAACAGGUAAGGUUGGGAGGCUGGAGAAAACUGUGUAUGCUGUUUGAAAAAGUCUAGAGACGAGAGAAAAUCUUGUUUGUUCUGUGGUUAGGUUGAGAGACAACUCGGAUUCGUGGGAAGGUUCAGAGACAGGAGAUAACCCGAAGUACUAAUUAUAAAGGUGGUUAAUAGAUCUAGAGAUGUGUGAGUAGUUUGUGAGAGGGGACAUAACUCUGUGUCUUGUCUUAGACGUUAGAUUGUUCUAUAUAUGUGUAUUAGUUGUGUGGUUUGAUUGGGAGGCAGUGAACAAUACUGUUCGUUAUGUAGAUAUAUAGGUUUUAAGACGAGGGCUAACUGUGUGUGCUGCCUAGGUAGCUUGGGAGUGGGAGGCAAAUAUACCUAUUUAUAUGUUUUGUUGUGUAGGUCGGGAGACGGGAUGAUUAUGUAAGUUGUGUUAGUAGGUAGAUUGAGAGUGUUUUGUAUUAUUAGUUCACACAUUCCAAUGCAAGGUAUUCAUUUUCACAUACAUUCAACAAAAUAUUGAAUGUUAGAAUGCACGUGUUUGUCAUAUAAGGUAUUAUGUCAAAUAUGAGAAUUAUUGUCUUUUUAUUCAAUAUAAGAAAGUUGCUGAUCAUGAUUUUUUUUCAAAUAAAAUGUGAAAAUAA